rnacentral:rRNA from 1 species
AUACGGAAGGUCCGGGCGUUAUCCGGAUUUAUUGGGUUUAAAGGGAGCGCAGGCGGAGAUGCAAGCGUGACGUCAAAUUUCGGGGCUCAACCCCGUCUCGCGUCGCGAACUGCGUCCCUUGGUUGCGGGAAGGGGAGGCGGAACUCGUGGUGUAGCGGGGCAAUGCAUAGAUAUCACGAAGAACUCCGAUCGCGAAGGCAGCCUUCCGGCCCGUCAACGACGCUCAUGCUCGAAGGUGCGGGUAUCAAACAGGAUUAGAUACCCUGGUAGUCCGCACAGUAAACGAUGGACACCCGCGGUUUGGCCUGUAUGGCUGAGCCGCCAAGCGAAAGCGUUAAGUGUCCCACCUGGGGAGUACGCCGGCAACGGUGAAACUCAAAUGAAUUGACGGGG